UACAGAGGGUGCGAGCGUUAAUCGGAAUCAUUGGGCGUAAAGGGUGCGUAGGUGGUUAAUUAAGUCAGAUGUGAAAUCCCUAGGCUCAACCUAGGAAUUGCGUUUGAAACUGAUUGGCUAGAGUAUAGUAGAGGGAAGUGGAAUUUCCGGUGUAGCGGUGAAAUGCGUAGAUAUCGGAAGGAACACCAGUGGCGAAGGCGACUUCCUGGACUGUUACUGACACUGAGGCACGAAAGCGUGGGGAGCGAACAGG
rnacentral:rRNA from 1 species